UGGGGAAUAUUGGACAAUGGGCGCAAGCCUGAUCCAGCCAUGCCGCGUGAGUGAUGAAGGCCCUAGGGUUGUAAAGCUCUUUCACCGGUGAAGAUAAUGACGGUAACCGGAGAAGAAGCCCCGGCUAACUUCGUGCCAGCAGCCGCGGUAAUGCGAAGGGGGCUAGCGUUGUUCGGAUUUACUGGGCGUAAAGCGCACGUAGGCGGACUAUUAAGUCAGGGGUGAAAUCCCGGGGCUCAACCCCGGAACUGCCUUUGAUACUGGUAGUCUUGAGUUCGAGAGAGGUGAGUGGAAUUCCGAGUGUAGAGGUGAAAUUCGUAGAUAUUCGGAGGAACACCAGUGGCGAAGGCGGCUCACUGGCUCGAUACUGACGCUGAGGUGCGAAAGCGUGGGGAGCAAACAGG
rnacentral:rRNA from 1 species